AUGCAUCAUGGCGAGCUCGGGCUGCCGGGCGCAGGCGAACUGCAGGCCCGGCGCGUUGGCGGGCGCGGGCGCCGGGGGCGCGGCGGCGGCCGGGCUGGCGGGGCUGAGCUGGCCCGGGGGCGGCGCGGCGGCCGCGUGGUGCGGCGGGGCCGGCGGCGGCGCGGCGGCCGCGUGCAGAUGGUGCGCGUGCGGGUGCGGGUGCGGGUGCGGGUGCGGGUGCGAGUGGGGGUGCGGCGGCGGCGGCGGGGGCGCGGCGGGCGGGCCCCCCAGGCCGUUGUAGGAGUUCACCACGCCGGGGGGCAGCGCCAUGCUCUGCACGCGCGAGUACGGCCCGUACGAGGCGGCCGGGCCCGCCAGCCCCUUGACCACCGCGGCCGCGCCCGGGCUGCCCGGGCCCGCGGCCGCCGCGGCCGCCGCCGCCGCCGCCGCGGCCGCCGCCAUCUGGCAGGAGGCGUAGGGCAUGGGCGAGGGCGGCUGCGGCAGCGGCCAGGAGUUGUUGAGGAAGCCGGACUGCAGGUACUUGGGCGGCGCCAGGUAGCCGUAGCCGUCGGCGCCCGCGCCCGCCACGCCGCAGCCGCCCGCGGCGCCCCCGGCCGCGAAGAGCCCCUUGCCCGGCUGGAAGUGGGCGGGCGGCGGCCGGAAGGGCCGCUUCAUGCGGCGGCGGCGGCGGUAGUUGCCCUUCUCGAACAUGUCCUCGCAGGCCGGGUCCAGCGUCCAGUAGUUGCCCUUGCGCUCGCCGCCGCCCUCGCGCGGCACCUUGAUGAAGCACUCGUUGAGGCUGAGGUUGUGGCGGAUGCUAUUUUGCCAGCCCUUCUUGUUCUUCUCGUAGAACGGGAACUUGGCGAUGAUGUACUGGUAGAUGCCGGACAGCGUGAGCCUCUUCUCGGCGCUCUCGCGGAUCGCCAUGGCGAUGAGCGCCACGUACGAGUACGGGGGCUUCUGCGCGGGGUCGGGCUUCUCCGGGGCCGCCCCGGCGCCUCCGCCGCCGCCGCCGCCGCCUCCGCCGCCGCCGCCGCCGCCGCCGCCGCCGCCGCCGCCUCCCUUGCCCGGGCUCGGCGGCGGCGGCGGCGCCUCGGGCUCCUUGGCCGCGCGGCCGGGCUCCGGGGCCAGCAGGGCCCCCGCGGCGUCCUCGGGCUCGGGGUAGCUGGCCAUCAUGGCAAAGCCGGCGCGCCGCGGCCGGGCAGCCCCUGCCCCGUUCCCGCGGUGCCCGCGCGGCGCAGUCCGGGCGCGCGAGGCGGCGCGCGGCCGAGUCUCAAACUUCUGGGCACCGCGGGCGCCGCCCGUGCUCGCCGGCCGGGCCUCUCGCUGCGCUCCUCUGCUCUCUCCCUUCCCCUCGGGAGCGGCCGGCGGGAGUGGAGCUCAGCCUCUGGCCAUGGGGAGUCCGCCCAACAGCGAGGGGCUCCGGCCCCGCCGCCCCUCCCCGCGCAGGCCAGUCCCCGCCUCGGUGGGUUUUCUUCUCGGCGCCCUUCCCCUCCCCCCACCCGCCGGUUUUCCCGAGGCGCGACCCGCGUCUCCGGCGGAGCUGCCUGCCGCGGUCCCCAGUGCGCCGGGAGCCUGGCUCAGUGCUGA
rnacentral:lncRNA from 1 species